ACAGUCAGGCUUCGCUUGAAUCGCUUUGUAGGAGUACGACAGGAUGUAUAGAAAAACAAGGAUCUAAAACGUGAAACGUGUAAAAUAAUUAAGUUGUGUGAGCUGUUGAUAUUAUAGACUAAAUAUUAUGGCAGAUAAAAAAAAGAAAAUAUUCCUUUCGAAGGAGUCCAGUGCUCCGAAAAGGCCAGUCAUAUUGAAAUCAGACCGAGAUACUACCAAAGAUCCACCGAAAGAAAAAGAAAAACCACCAACCAUACUUUUGAAGACCCGAGAACAAAGUGCACCAAAAGAAGAGCGACCGGUGAGCCCUAAUGUCCAGGCUGCAGAAAAUGAAGGGCCACAACCCUCCAAAAUCGCUCAAAAUGAAAACAAGGAGAAGAAAAUUAUAGAGCAGAAGCCAAGUGCUCCUCUAAAGUACAUGACUGAGCCAGUAAAGCUUUUGGAUGAAAACUUGGAGUUCAACAGUGCAGCAUUAGAGUUCCUACAUGACUCUAGUGUCAACUAUCUUGUUGUCGGAAUAAUAGGUACUCAAGGUGUUGGUAAAUCCAUGAUCCUUAACCUAAUUGCCCAGAACAACCCAAUACCAGAUUUGUGUACACAAAUUCUAAACUCUCAUGACAUCCCAACCAACCUCGCUUUUGAUGGCAAUGAUGUAUCGUCACUAGAAAAUCAAAUAGAUGGCCUCCACUUUUAUGAGGCUCCUGAAAUAAAUGGGAAGGUGGAAAACAGUUUCUUCAAGUUCAAAAUGCAAGACAUUGAUCAGAUUGAAAGAGGAGUACAUUGUACAAAAGGUAUAGACAUGUAUGUAACCACAGACCGAGUGAUCCUGCUUGACUGCCAAGCGCUCUGGUCACCCGCACUCAUAGAAGAGACGAACAUCAAUCCCAUAACAGCCCGAAGCGCGAAUGUGGUCACAGUGGACUGCCUCCAAGUUGCGUCUUUCCUUAUGGCGAUAUGCCAUGUCCUUGUAGCGGUGCAGGACUGGUUUACGGACUACAAUUUUAUAAGAUACCUUCAAACAGCCGAGAUGCUGAAACCAUCAUUAUCAGCAUCAAGCUGUGCCAGUUCCGAAGAGGCCUCAUCUGGCGAAAGUCACCCACAUUUGUUACUGCUGCAUAAUCGGUGCCAACUUGAAGACUACACUCCGGAAGCAGUUAAGAGUAUGCAGGACUUAUACAGGAAAGCGUUCCAAAAGUCUCACCUCCAGCUCAACUCUGGCAUGUACAUGUACAGCGACUCGAACCGCAACGGCCUGAGCGCAGAUUGCCAGGGCUGCAGCCUGGACACCUGCGGACCGCCGCUCAACCUGUUCCUCUUACCAGAGAUCUACGACGACUUCGACAACCGAGAGAUCUACCGCGGCCACCCCACCUUCGAGGAGCUAGCCAAGCGUCUCCGUUGGAUGGUCCUCGGCGUCCAUCGGCACCCCAUCACGAAUGUCCCGAACCUGUCCGAACGCUCCUGGUUCCAGUACUGCAGCAAAGCUUGGGAGACCAUCAGGAAAUGCACCUUCUUUAUGGAGUAUGAGAGGUUCUUACCGUGAUUUUUUUCUGGUUCGUUAUAUUGACUUGCCUUUUAUGUGGCCCUUGCUACCAAGUAUAAGUAACGAGUCACAACUUCAUUGAGUGUUUAUUUGCACUACAGCUGCAAAUGAAAGGAUCUAUGCAUAUAUCGGGAAAGUAACACUUAUUUAGUGAUUAUCAGUUGAACUUGCACCGUGAAUAAACGAAACAUGCCAUAAAAUUGUGACUCAUGUUACUCUUUCCUCGGAUUGACCAUGAAGCUGCCUCGCUAAGAGAAGGAAUAAAAUCGCUAAUAUGAUGAAGCGUAAACAUAUGAUAGAGAUAACGAUCUACGAAGGUUGAAGAAUUAACACAUUCGUGGACACGUAUGCUAUAGCAUACGCGUAGUCAUUUGCUUCCUUUGGUCUAUGACAGUGAAUAUGAUAGCAACUACCAUGUGUUAACGGCCCAGCCACGACAUUGGUCUAAGCGCGACAGCGGUGAGCGGCGCCCAUACAUUGGAGCGAGACACAGCGAUGGGACUUUUCAUUCGCACGUAUGGCUGCCGCUCACC